rnacentral:lncRNA from 1 species
AUCUGACCUUGACCUCAUUUUCAUGGUUCAUUGGUCUUUGUUUAGCUAUCUUGGUUAAUGUUAAGUUUAUGUGACAGUUGUAAUAAAGCUUUAUACUUUGGACUUUCAACAUAAUAUCAAUGAUUAGUAAACAAGGCGAGACAUUUCAGUGUGUGCACUCUUGUUAUUUUAUACUGCAUCUUAUUGCUUAUGCUUUCAUUCAUACUUGAAUGGUUUUAUAUUCUAAUAUGGCAAAUUAGAAAAUUAAUUCAAAACAUCGAUUUGAUAAGUGUUAUCCUAUGUCACUGGUUGGACUCACAUGAAACACUCUAUAAUGCUCAGUGCUGUUUUGUUUGCUUGAUAAAAUAUUCAAUUAAAAAGACAGUGUAUGAUAAAUUGCUUUACCUUUGCGUCAAGCUGACGGUCCCUCCAUCUUUUUAUCAUUUAGUAACAUAUUUCUGUCUGAUUUCACAUCGAUUUGAAGCAAAGAUUUUUUUUUAAUUUGGUACCAUACUUCACAUGGCUAAGCUAUACAAAACGACUGUCAAAUUCCGGAAUUGGUACUGUAAUUUCCGAAGAAAACGGUCGAUUAAACCUGGUUGUAUAGCUUGCUAAACCUCCCACUUGUAUGACAGUUGUUUAUCAUUCCUUAAUAUUGGUAUAAAAGGAUGAGCAACUCAAACAGAUAUAAAAGGUAAAAGUGACAAUAUUUGGGAUUAGACAUGCGACACAACUGAUUAAAAAAUCAAACAAACCUACGAAACUGAAAACGCCAAAAAAAUAUUGUUCAAUUUGGUAGUAAAUUUGCCAAAGACGUCAACAAAAAAUCAUUUUACAACACGUUCUCGAUAAAGUACAAAUUUCAGCCGGGUAUACAAAAUGAUCACAACGCUUUAAAAAAAUCUCUGGUGUCUAAAUCUCACAUCUGGACCCACCGACGAACGCAAAAAGUCCAAAACCUGGUAACUGGAUUUAUAAAUAAGUAUCGCAUCAACAGUCAUACGUAAAGGAGCGUAAUAGCACAGUCAAAUAAAAGGAAAUAACAUCAGCAGCA